rfam:Equus caballus chromosome 4, whole genome shotgun sequence.
GGAUGCGAGGGCAAUCUGGCUGCAACAUCUGUCACCUCAUUGAUUGUCAGGGUGGAUUCAGCUGAUCUGGCUGGCUAGGAAGGUGUCCCCUUCCUCCCUCACCACUCCAUAGGUGUCCCUCCCGAAGCUCUGCGCUCAGUCGAAGAGGAUGACUUUCCCCGAUAGAGGAGGACCGUACCUCGGUCAAGGGUAUAUGGUAGCUAUGCUUCCCUGCUACAACCUGCCAACAAACUACCAAGGUCCAUUUGUAGGAGAAGGUACGGAGUCAAGCUUCUCAGACUCCAGGCACAUCCAAAUGAGGCACGGCAUAUGGCUCUCUGCCUUUCUUU